GCCAGGCGGGUGUUGCAAGCCUGUAAUCCCAGUGCCUCGGGAGGCUGAGGCAGGAGGAUCAUGGGGGGGGGGGGGUUCCAACUUAGCUGGGGCUCUAAGCUACUCCGUGAGACCCUGUCUCUA
rnacentral:sRNA from 1 species